rnacentral:rRNA from 1 species
UACGGAGGGUGCAAGCGUUACUCGGAAUCACUGGGCGUAAAGGGUGCGUAGGCUGGCUUUUAAGUCAGGUGUGAAAUCCAAUGGCUCAACCAUUGAACUGCACUUGAAACUGGGAGCCUAGAGUUCAGAAGGGGCAGAUGGAAUUAGUGGUGUAGGGGUAAAAUCCGUAGAUAUCACUAGGAAUAUCAAAAGCGAAGGCGAUCUGCUGGGAUGAUACUGACGCUGAGGCACGAAAGCGUGGGGAGCAAACAGG